GGUGGUUUAAGUUAUUGAGUCUUUACUUGUGCUUUUUUUUGAAAAGAGUUUAUAAUCGAAACUUGCAACAAAAAAUCUUGAAACCUUUACACAAAACCUACUCACACAAAAAAAACAAUCUCAAAUUCGAAUGCCUUCUCUUAAUGUUGAUCGUUUUUUAACAUCCAAAGGGAAGUUUUGUUAAUCUUUAUACCAUUUACUAAAAGAUAUAUUAUAGGGAAACAAUUCAAAUUGAUUUUAUAAAGUACUUCUGAUACUUUUUA